rnacentral:rRNA from 1 species
CAUGUAGGUGGAUCAAUUAGUCUGUUGUGAAAGUCAAAGGCUCAACCUUUGAAAGCCGGUGGAUACUGUUGGUCUAGAGUACGGAAGAGGCGAGUGGAAUUCCUGGUGUAGCGGUGGAAUGCGCAGAUAUCAGGAGGAACACCAAUAGCGAAGGCAGCUCGCUGGGACGUUGCUGACACUGAGAUGCGAAAGCGUGGGGAGCAACA